CAUCGCCCGUCCAGAAAACUACGUGGACGGGCUCGUGCAGGAAAAAGCAAAUCCGAAUUCCGAUCCCUAAUGUGAGAACGGAGAUGAGACAUCUUAAUGUGUACAGGAAUGCUCUGAACUCCCCAGAAGUCCAUAGCAAAAGCAGCGGGGGAGUGGGGGGAGUAAAGCUCAGGAGAAUAGUUUUCUCGUCUGUUAAUCCUAUAUUGACGAGUGAAGAAGUGUCUUGCUUGGUAAUUGUACAAAUUCAGUGGCCAAUCAAGAAGAACCUGAUCUCUUUGCCAGCAUCGCAUUUGAAGGAGAUCGGUCGACAAUGGUGGACUUCGCACACGUACAGAAAGAAAUUGCGGAUUGUAACAGAGACACGGAGAUUCCUGGUGUAAGCAUAAUGCUCCACAGUAACGAUCUUUCUCAUCUCUCGGGAACCAUCACAGGCCCUAUCGCCACUCCUUAUGAAGGUGGAACAUUUCAAAUCCGUAUCAGAUUGCUUGUAAUAACAAAGCUUUAGCUCAGUAAAGCUUGCAUUCCCUACUGUAGGCAACCAAAUAUUAGCAGUCAAAAUGGGGCAAUAUGCUUGGAUAUCUUGAAGGAUCAAUGGAGCCCAGCCCUCAUGCUGAAGGCGGCACUUCUUUCCUUGCAAGCAUUGUUAUCUGCCUCUGAACUUGAUGAUCCUCAAGAUGCAGUGGUAGCUCAACAGGUUUCAUUUCCUGCUACUCUACUUGAGAAUAUAUUCUUGAUUGCAGUUAUAUAUGUUUUUCUGCUUGUGUGAGUGCUUAUGACUGGACCUCACAGUAUCUUCGAGACUAUCAGACCUUUGUUGGCACAGCUCAGUAUUAUACUGAAACUUUUGCAAAGAGAUCAUCUAUUGGAACUGAAGAAAAAGUACAAAAUUUGGUGGAGAUGGGCUUCCCUGAGAGCUUGGUAAGGGCAACUUUGGAAGCUGUAGGUGUUGAUGAGAACGUGGCUCUGGAAAAGCUUUGCUCUUUCUAGAAUGGUCUUGCUGCAGCUUCCAUCAUCCUUUUCACUCGUCAGCUUCUCUAUCUCCUGUAGUAUCUGAAAAUUGAUACAAAGAUGAGAAAUCCUAUGAGAAGUUAGUGUCCUAGAAGCUCCUGAUUUCAAUUCUUUUGAUCUCAUAUCAAUAGAAAAAAACAUAUUUCACCACCU